AAGAUUGUACUUGUUUUGAGCUAUUGCUGGUUGUUAGAGGGGUGGUUCAGUAUGACAUCUGUGCUAUUCACGUGGCUGCAGGAAAGAAGACAAUUUCCAGAAAAGGAAAGAGAAAAGUGAGGCUGGUGUCGCUAGCUCCCUUGUGAUGUUACUUCAUUUCCUCAGCUGGCUGUGAUCUAUAGCUACCUACACAGAAAAUAAUAGUAGGUGUU